AGGAGACACCCAGGGCUCAAGGCAGGCUGCCAGGAUCCCAAAGAGAACUCCUCCGUGAGUUUCGCUCGAGGGACAGAUGGGGAAUAGAAAUUUUCUGGACUUGGAUUUCUGCACAUUGAUUUUAUAUCCCGGACUUGGAAUUAUUAUAUGAAGUGUGUGUGUGUGUAUGUGUGUCUGGGGAGACUAAAAUUUUCAGCCUGCCACCCCCAGACCAGGGAGCAGAUAGAGCAGUUCUGCAACACUCUGGACGAUGCUGAAAUCCAACAUGAGCCUUUCCCCAAACUGGAAUGGCAAGCUCUCUGCAUAGAGGGAAGUUCCCCAGUCUGUCCCCAUUCUCCACGCCGGAAAACAUGUCACGGGACAGCUGGACAAGCUCCAGCAGGCUCCAACUCCACUACCCUGUGUACCGAGCUAGAACCUGGAGACAGCCUGGAUGUCCUUCCGCAGGUGAAUGGUAAGCUGUGGUAUAUCUAUUGCUCAAGUGGAGGGGGGAGGCUAGAAGGGGCACUGGACCACUCAACGUCAAUUACAGGAAGAAUCACCAACUACAGACCCCAACAGAAGGAGCAUCAACAGGAAAGAAUCAUCCAUUACAGGCCCCACCAGAGAAACGAUGGACCCUCCUUCUUUUAGCAUCUCCUAAAAGAAAUCGACCAUCCCUGCAACUUAGCCGAUGAGAGAUCUUCAUCACCCUGUCUUGCUUUUCUCCAGUGGAUUUUCAUUCAAAACAACCCCUCCCAACUUCUUCAUAAAAUAAUGCUUCUCUCCUUUGUUUUUUGGACUUGCCUGUAGUUUGGCCAUAGUUUGCAUGUCUUGAGUUGUGA